rnacentral:rRNA from 1 species
GGGGGAUAAAUUAAUAAAGUAUAAAUAAUAAAAAAAUUUUUAAUAUUAAAAUAUUUUAAUGGGGGUUAAAGUAUAUUUAAUAGAAAAAAUAAAAAAAUUUAUAGAAAAUUAGUAUUGUAAAAGAAAUUUGAAAUAUAUUGAAAAUAAAUUUACUUAAAAGUAAAUUUAAUUUAUUGUAUCUUGUGUAUCAGAGUUUAUUAAUAAUAAUUUUUAUUUAAAAAUUUUCUCGAAUUUAAAAGAGAUAAUUAAUUAUUAAAAUUAAUGUUGUAUAAUUAUUUUAAAUAAUUAAUUGGAAAUGAAAUGUUAAUCGUUUUUAAAUAUAUCUAGUUUUUUUAGAAAAAAAUUUAAUUUUAAAUUUUAAAAAAGAAUAUAAUUUUAAUUAAUUAAAAUUAUAUUUUUAAAAUUAAAUAUUUUAAGGGAUAAGCUUUAAAAUAAAUUUUUAUAAUAAAUUUUAAUAAUAAUUAAAAUUUUUAAAAUUUAUAUUGUUUAUAAAUUAUAAUUUUUUAUAAAUAAUUUUAAUUAAAUUAAAAUUUUAAAUUUAUUUAAUUUUUUAUUAAAAAAUAUUUUGUAAUAAUUAAAAUUUAGAUAUAAUGAUAAAAUUAGUAUAUAAAUAAAUAAAUAUAAUUUAUUAUUUGAUAAUUUAAUAAAAGGAAUUCGGCAAAAAUUUAUAUUCACUUGUUUAUCAAAAACAUGUCUUUUUGAUUAAUAAUUUAAAGUCUAAUCUGCCCACUGAUAAUAUAUUAAAGGGCUGCAGUAUUUUGACUGUACAAAGGUAGCAUAAUCAUUAGUCUCUUAAUUGGUGACUUGUAUGAAAGAUUUGAUGAGAUAUAUACUGUCUCUUUUUAAUUUAUAAAAUUUAAUUUUUUAGUUAAAAAGCUAAAAUAUAUUUAAAAGACGAGAAGACCCUAUAGAGUUUUAUAUUUAUAUAAAUUAAAAUUUUUUAUAAGCUUUAAAAUUUUAAUUUAUAUAAAUAUUUUGUUGGGGUGAUAGAAAAAUUAAAAUAACUUUUUUUAUAAUUUUACAUUAAUAAAUGAAUAAAUGAUCCGUAAUUUACGAUUAUAAGAUAAAAUUACCUUAGGGAUAACAGCGUAAUUUUUUUUUUUAGUUCAAAUAAGAAGAAAAGUUUGCGACCUCGAUGUUGGAUUAAGAUAAAAUUUAAAUGCAAAAGUUUAAAAUUUUUGAUCUGUUCGAUCAUUAAAAUCUUACAUGAUCUGAGUUCAAACCGGUGUAAGCCAGGUUGGUUUCUAUCUUUAGAUUAAUAAAAUAUUUUAGUACGAAAGGAUCAAAUAUUUAAAAUAGUUUUAUUUAAAAGAAUUUUAAUAAUAGUAAAUAUUUUUAAAUAUG